rfam:Chlorocebus sabaeus isolate 1994-021 chromosome 4, whole genome shotgun sequence.
UGGCACCCGAACAGGGACCUGGAAACGAGGGACUCCGUGAGGAAGAGGACGCCAAAGGACGGUCAACCGCUAACGAAGACAAAAGAAAGUGAACUCUUCCGAUCACCGCGGGAACCUGCCGCGUCAGAAUCGAAGGUAAGUGACGCGUCCGAAAUGGGACAAGAAUUAAGCCAACAUCAGAUCUAUGUAGGACAAUUAAAAGAGGCUUUAAAGAUACGNNNNNNNNNNUGCCAUUAAAAGAGACUUGAUCAGAGCACUGUCUUGUCUCCAUUUCUCGUGUCUCU